GUCCUAUUUGAUUAUAAUUUUAGGUUUAUUUUGCCCAUUGAUUUUAAUUAAAAGGCUGCAGUAUAUUGACUGUACAAAGGUAGCAAAAUAAAUAGUUUUUUAAUUGGAAACUGGAAUGAAAGAGUGAAUGAAAUAUAAAUUGUCUCAAAGUAAAAAAAAAAUUGAAUUUAAAUUAAAAGUAAAAAUGCUUUUUUAAAUUUAUUAGACGAGAAGACCCUAUAGAAUUUUAUAAAGAUUAUUUUAAAAAUUUUAUUAUAUUAAUUUUUUUGUAAAGUAAUUAUAUUUUAUUGGGAGGAUAUUUAAAUUUAUUUAACUUUAAUAAAAAAUAACAUUGAUUUAUGAAUAUUAUUGAUUAUUAUUAUAAUUAUUAGAAUAAAUUACCUUAGGGAUAACAGCGUGAUAGUUUUGGAGAGUUCAUAUCGAUAAAAUUGUUUGCGACCUCGAUGUUGAAUUAUGAUAAAAAUUAAAUGUAAAAAUUUAAAAUUUUAGUCUGUUCGACUAUUAAAAUCAUACA
rnacentral:rRNA from 1 species